rnacentral:rRNA from 1 species
UGAAGUUUGGAUUCCCUGGGCUCAGGACGAACGCUGGGCGGCGUGCUUAACACAUGCAAGUCGAACGAUGAAGACUGGGUGCUUGCACUGGUUGGAUUAGUGGGCGAACGGGUGAGUAAUACGUGAGUAACCUGCCUUUGACUCUGGGAUAAGCCUGGGAAACUGGGUCUAAUACCGGAUAUGACAAGGAACCGCAUGGUUUUUUUGUGGAAAGGGUUUGUACUGGUUUUAGAUGGGCUCACGGCCUAUCAGCUUGUUGGUGGGGUAAUGGCUCACCAAGGCGACGACGGGUAGCCGGCCUGAGAGGGUGACCGGCCACACUGGGACUGAGACACGGCCCAGACUCCUACGGGAGGCAGCAGUGGGGAAUAUUGCACAAUGGGCGCAAGCCUGAUGCAGCGACGCCGCGUGAGGGAUGACGGCCUUCGGGUUGUAAACCUCUUUCAGCAGGGAAGAAGCGAAAGUGACGGUACCUGCAGAAGAAGCGCCGGCUAACUACGUGCCAGCAGCCGCGGUAAUACGUAGGGCGCGAGCGUUGUCCGGAAUUAUUGGGCGUAAAGAGCUUGUAGGCGGUUUGUUGCGUCUGCUGUGAAAGACCGGGGCUUAACCCCGGUAUUGCAGUGGGUACGGGCAGACUAGAGUGCAGUAGGGGAGACUGGAAUUCCUGGUGUAGCGGUGAAAUGCGCAGAUAUCAGGAGGAACACCGAUGGCGAAGGCAGGUCUCUGGGCUGUAACUGACGCUGAGAAGCGAAAGCAUGGGGAGCGAACAGGAUUAGAUACCCUGGUAGUCCAUGCCGUAAACGUUGGGCACUAGGUGUGGGGGACAUUCCACGUUUUCCGCGCCGUAGCUAACGCAUUAAAGUGCCCCGCCCUGGGAGAAGGCCA